AUGGUGCAGGAUUUUGGGAUGAGAAUCAGUAAAACAGAGGUGAAUUUGAAGAGGCUGCUUGCAGCUGCACCUCAGCAACAGAACCAGGCAAAACUUGUACAUUAUGUUGCUACUUUACGAGAACUGGUAGAACAACUAGCUGAAGAGAGAACUCCAGAAGGCUUACCCAGAGUUUCAAAGGCUGUUUUGAGUGACUAUUCAGAGAAGAUUGAAGCCAUUGCUUCCAAAUUAGCUGCUCCACCGCCUGAUAUUCAAACACCCGAAGAGCCCCUUGCAAGAAUUUCUGUCAAAGCAAACUCUUCUGAUACAGGAGGCAAUCAGAUUCCCCCUUCUCCAGGUUUGAGAAGGAGAUUUGUGUAAGUGAAUGUCUCUAAUACUGAAGAUGGAACUCGCGAGACUGCUGGUGUUGAUUCUUCAGGGCCUGUCAAACUGGAUGCUGCGGCCCAAGCACACAUUGAAAAGCAUAGAAAGCUUCAAGAGGAUUUGACAGACGAAAUGGUUGGAUUGGCUAGACAGCUCAAAGAGAGUAGUCUCAUGAUGAGUCACUCCUUGGAAAACACUGAAAAAAUACUUGAUUCUACAGAGAAGGCUGUUGAAAGUAGCUUGGCAAGCACUGGUCACGCCACUACACGGGCAGCAGGUAUAUACUCGAGGACGUCCAAGACUACUUGUUUCACAUGGCUUCUGAUGUUUGUCAUGACAUGUGUAUUUAUCAUGGUGGUUCUUUUAAUUCGCGUAACUUAAGGGUGUGUUGUGUUAGGAAGACUCAUCUUUCGUCCCAUAAUUUCUAUGUAUAUUUUGCAAUGUUCAACAGCGACAGUCUACAAAUUAUGAUAGAUAUAAUUUCUCAGAGCAUAGAAAUGUUGUUCGACGAUCACUGGAAAUGGACGGGAAUGGAUUUAAAUGUUAAUGAUACUGCGACGCUAGUUACCGAAACA